UAAAUCAGUCCUUUUCAAGCUUGGUGCUCAAGAAAAUAAUCAGGACAGCAAGCUGGUGGCACAAUUCCUUUUCUUUGUAACUGAAACUGUUGCAGUGGUGAUAUGGGAAGAAAAAGCAUAUUAUUUUCUAGAAAACUAUGGAUACUGUGUGUGUUACCUCAUAUCCAGCCUAUCUCAUUCCCAGAAAUCACUCCAGUUCAAGAGAAGAAGUGGCUGUCCUACUCAACUCUGAGCAUCAUGCUUCAUCUGUUAAAAUUAAUUGUUCAUCCAAACUGCAAGGGCUGUUAGACCCUGAGCCUGGGUGAAGGUGCUGGCUGCAUUCUGCAGUGGGAUAAGGAGAUCUUUCUAAAGCUGUGGAUGAAGACAGCACCUCCAUUCAGUGAUACUGAUUGUAUACACAUUUACCUUUCAGA